CAAAGGUUUGGUCCCGGCCUUAUAGUUAAUUGGAGGUAAGAUUACACAUGCAAACAUCCAUGUACUAGUGUAGAAUCCCUUAAAUAUUUAUUCAAAAAUUUAAGGAGAAGGUAUCAAGCACAUUCAUAUAGCUUAAGACACCUUGCCCAGCCACACCCCCACGGGAUACAGCAGUGAUAAAUAUUAAGCAAUAAACGAAAGUUUGACUAAGCUAUACCUCUUAGGGUUGGUAAAUUUCGUGCCAGCCACCGCGGUCAUACGAUUAACCCAAACUAACUAUUCUCGGCGUAAAAUGUGACAAUUAUUACUAAAAUAAUAGAAUUAAAAUCCAACCAAUAUGUGAAAAUUCAUCGUUAGGACCUAAACUCGAUAACGAAAGUAAUUCUAAUAUUUAUUUCACACGAUAGCUAAGAUCCAAACUGGGAUUAGAUACCCCACUAUGCUUAGCCCUAAAUUUAAAUAAUUAAUUAACAAAAAUAUUUGCCAGAGAACUACUGGCCACCGCUUAAAACUCAAAGGACUUGGCGGUACUUUAUAUCCGUCUAGAGGAGCCUGUUCUAUAAUCGAUAAACCCCGCUAUACCUCACCAUCUCUUGCUAAUUCAGCCUAUAUACCGCCAUCUUCAGCAAACCCUAAAAAGGUAUCAAAGUAAGCGCAAGAACAAACAUAAAAACGCUAGGUCAAGGUGUAGCCAAUGAGAUGGGAAGAAAUGGGCUACAUUUUCUUUUAAAAGAACAUUAACGAAACCCUUUAUGAAACUAAAGGAUAAAGGAGGAUUUAGUAGUAAAUUAAGAAUAGAGUGCUUAAUUGAAUGGAGCAAUGAAGUACGUACACACCGCCCGUCACCCUCCUCAAAUUAAAUAAAUUAAACUAUACAUAAUUACUAAUACAAUUUAUGAGAGGAGAUAAGUCGUAACAAGGUAAGCAUACUGGAAGGUGUGCUUGGAACAAU
rnacentral:ncRNA from 1 species